rnacentral:rRNA from 1 species
AUUUUAGUCUAUUCAGAGGAACCUGCCCUAUAAUUGAUGAUCCACGAUUUAUUCAACUUGUUCUUUUAGUUUGCAUAUCGCCGUAGUUUGAAUAUUUUUAAAAAAUGUUAAUGUUCAAGAUUUUUUUAAUAAAAUAAAUCAGGUCAAGAUGUAGCUUAUGGGCAAGAAGAGGUGGGUUACAAUAAAUUUAUUUAAAUGGAUUAAUAAAUGAGAUUUUAUUAUGAAGGUGGAUUUGAAGGUAAUUUUAUUUAAAUAAGUAAAAUGAUUUUAGCUCUAAAAUAUGUACAUAUCGCCCGUCACUUUCAUUACAAAAUGGAAUAAGUCGUAACAAAGUAGGGGUACUGGAAAGUGUCCCUAGAAUGGCAAAUUAGAGCUUGAUUAAAGCAUUUUAGUUACAUUAAAAAGUUUAUUGUAAAUUCAAUAUAAUUUGAAUAUAAUUUAUUAUUAGUAAUUUUUGUUUAAGUUUAUAUUUAAAAUAAGAAUAUUUUUGUUUUAUUAAUUUUUAUGAAUAAAUUUAUUUAAUUAUAGUGAAAUAGUAUUGUGAAAGAAUUAAAAUUAUAUUUUUAAAAGAAAAAUUUAAUUUUUGUACCUUGUGUAUCAGGGUUUAUUAAAUAUAAAUUAAAAAUUUAAUUUUCUCGAAUUAAUAAGGGCUAUAAUUAUAUAUUUUUUUUUGUUGAAUAAAAAUUAUUAAUAUAAUUAUAGAAAUGAAAUAUUAUUCGAUUAUUAAUAUAUCUAGUUUUUAAAGAAAAAAAUUUAAUUUUUUUAUUAAAUUAAUAUAAAACUAAUUUAUUAGUUUUAUACUAUUAAUAUUUAAUAUCUUAAGGGAUGAGCUUUAAGAUAAAAAUUUUUAAAAUAUAUUAAAUUUUAAGUAUGUAGAAUUGUAAGUUUUUAUCAUUAAAAGUGUGUUGUAACUUUCUUGAGUUUAAAUAUAAUUUAUAUAUAUAUUUUAAAAUAAUUUAUUUAAAUGAAAAUUUUAAUUUAAAAAAUUUUGUAAUAAUGAUAAAAUUAGUAUAUAAAAUAUUGUUAAAUAUUUAUUUAUAAUAUUAAGGUUAAAUAAAGGAACUCGGCAAAUAUAUUUUUCACCUGUUUAUUAAAAACAUGGCCUUUUGAUAAUAAUUUAAGGUCUGGCCUGCCCACUGAGGAUUUAAAUGGCCGCGGUAUUUUGACCGUGCAAAGGUAGCAUAAUCAUUAGUUUUUUAAUUGAAAGCUGGAAUGAAAGGUUGGAUGAGAAAAUAACUGUCUCUAUUUAAUUUUUUUUAGAAAUUUAUUUUUAAGUUAAAAAGCUUAAAUAUAAUUUGAAGACGAGAAGACCCUAUAGAGUUUUAUUAUUAUUAAGUAAUAAAAUUUUUAGUAUUUAC